AUGUCGGGUUUGUGCUUGCCGCCGGCACACUACAUUCACGCAUAUGCGCAAUUUGGCGGACGCAAAUAACAUUUUGUAUGGCUUUGCAUUUCUCUGCAGUCCGGCAAAACUUCUAAUCGAACGGCAGGUGCCGAACAUGCGGGACUUAGGGGACAUACGUAAUCAGUAGGUAGGUGCCGCCUUCCCGGCGGUAACCGGCACGCCUGAAUCAAGUUCGUCCAAAGAAAAAAGUUUACGACAUUUAUGGAAAUUGCUUUAUUUUUUUAAUUUACAUACCAUUUUCAGCCGUAACAUUAUAAUUUCAAAGGGUGAUAUGUUAUAAAUAAAUGCGCGAUCAUUCAAACAAAUAUUUCAUCCACGUUCAUAUACCGCAUGACAACGUUUACAACUUUGGAACACUUUACGACAUAACACUUUACGGCAGAAAAUGGAAAACCGGAAGAAUACAGGGUAAUGUAAGAAUACACAAAAAAUGGAAGGAGGGACAGCUGCUGAAAUACACUAUGAACUAUCUUAUCCUGGCACUUUGGCAUGUUUGAAUGUGGAAGGCCUUGAAAUUCGGAUGAAGAAGGCCAGGGAAUGUCACAGAAAUUAAAAAAAAAU